rnacentral:rRNA from 1 species
GACCACUGCUAUUGGGGUUCGACUAAGCCAUGCAAGCGGAGGGCAGUUCGGCUGCCCCGCGGACGGCUCAGUAACACGUAGUCAACCUACCCUUGGGUCGGGUAUAACCCCGGGAAACUGGGGAUAAUCCCCGAUAGGUGGGGGUACUGGAAAAGUCCCUCCCCCAAAGCUCCGGCGCCCAAGGACGGGACUGCGGCCCAUCAGGUAGUUGGCGGGGUAACGGCCCACCAAGCCGACAACGGGUACGGGCUGUGAGAGCAGGAGCCCGGAGAUGGAGACUGAGACAAGGCUCCAGGCCNUACGGGGCGCAGCAGGUGCGAAAACUUCGCAAUGCGCGAAAGCGUGACGAGGGAACCCCAAGUGCCGAUGGUCUUUUUGAUCGUCGGCUUUUCAGGAGUUUAAAACGCUCUUGGAAUAAGAGCUGGGCAAGACUGGUGCCAGCCGCCGCGGUAACACCAGCAGCUCAAGUGGUGGUCGCUAUUAUUGGGCCUAAAGCGUCCGUAGCCGGGCCAGUAAGUCCUUUGUGAAAUCGGGCGGCUCAACCGUUCGGCUUGCAAGGGAAACUACAGGCCUCGGGGCCGGUAGACGUUGAGGGUACUCCGGGGGUAGCGGUGAAAUGCUCUAAUCCCUGGGGGACCACCAGUGGCGAAGGCGCUCAACGAGAACGGACCUGACGGUGAGGGACGAAGGCUAGGGGAGCGAACCGGAUUAGAUACCCGGGUAGUCCUAGCUGUAAAGUAUGCUGGUCAGGUGUAGGGCGCUCCACGAGGGCGCCCGGUGCCGUAGGGAAGCCGUUAAGCCAGCCGCCUGGGAAGUACGGCCGCAAGGCUGAAACUUAA